CAUGCAGUCGAGCGGAACGAGUUAUCUGAACCUUCGGGGAACGAUAACGGCGUCGAGCGGCGGACGGGUGAGUAAUGCCUAGGAAAUUGCCCUGAUGUGGGGGAUAACCAUUGGAAACGAUGGCUAAUACCGCAUGAUGCCUACGGGCCAAAGAGGGGGACCUUCGGGCCUCUCGCGUCAGGAUAUGCCUAGGUGGGAUUAGCUAGUUGGUGAGGUAAUGGCUCACCAAGGCGACGAUCCCUAGCUGGUCUGAGAGGAUGAUCAGCCACACUGGAACUGAGACACGGUCCAGACUCCUACGGGAGGCAGCAGUGGGGAAUAUUGCACAAUGGGCGCAAGCCUGAUGCAGCCAUGCCGCGUGUGUGAAGAAGGCCUUCGGGUUGUAAAGCACUUUCAGUCGUGAGGAAGGUGGUGUAGUUAAUAGCUGCAUCAUUUGACGUUAGCGACAGAAGAAGCACCGGCUAACUCCGUGCCAGCAGCCGCGGUAAUACGGAGGGUGCGAGCGUUAAUCGGAAUUACUGGGCGUAAAGCGCAUGCAGGUGGUUUGUUAAGUCAGAUGUGAAAGCCCGGGGCUCAACCUCGGAAUAGCAUUUGAAACUGGCAGACUAGAGUACUGUAGAGGGGGGUAGAAUUUCAGGUGUAGCGGUGAAAUGCGUAGAGAUCUGAAGGAAUACCGGUGGCGAAGGCGGCCCCCUGGACAGAUACUGACACUCAGAUGCGAAAGCGUGGGAGCAAACAGGAUUAGAUACCCUGGUAGUCCACGCCGUAAACGAUGUCUACUUGGAGGUUGUGGCCUUGAGCCGUGGCUUUCGGAGCUAACGCGUUAAGUAGACCGCCUGGGGAGUACGGUCGCAAGAUUAAAACUCAAAUGAAUUGACGGGGGCCCGCACAAGCGGUGGAGCAUGUGGUUUAAUUCGAUGCAACGCGAAGAACCUUACCUACUCUUGACAUCCAGAGAACUUUCCAGAGAUGGAUUGGUGCCUUCGGGAACUCUGAGACAGGUGCUGCAUGGCUGUCGUCAGCUCGUGUUGUGAAAUGUUGGGUUAAGUCCCGCAACGAGCGCAACCCUUAUCCUUGUUUGCCAGCGAGUAAUGUCGGGAACUCCAGGGAGACUGCCGGUGAUAAACCGGAGGAAGGUGG
rnacentral:rRNA from 1 species